CCUGAAACAGCCAGUUUCACCACCUUCAUCCAGCUCCAGCUCCUCCUGAAACAGCCAGUUUCACCACCUUCAUCCAGCUCCAGCUUCUCCUUAAACAGCUG